rnacentral:piRNA from 1 species
UGACAAGGUUAUAGAUAUAGUACAUUAG